ensembl:lincRNA
AUUUAUUAUUAGAAAUUGCAAUAAAUUUUGGAAAGAUGAAUUGAUUUUGGUUAAAAGGUAUAACUGACAAUUUAUUGGGCGGGAAGAUGCAUUAUUUUCCAAUUGUUAUCCAUCUACAGUAAAACUGAUUUGUGUCCUAUUGUAUUUCAUGGAAAAGGAAGGGCAACUUGCAGUGAUUUAGAUUAAAUGUAUUAAUCAUAACCAAGCACUGUGAACUAUAUAUCUACUAUUAAAGAAGAUUUUUGACAUUUAAUUCUGUAGCAAUAUUUUGGCUCUGUACCACUCUUCCUAAAUCCAAUUCCUGCUACAGUUGGCAGAUUUCUCCCUUUUAAUUUUAUGAGGCUUAAAGUAGCAUUUAACCACCCAUGCGGUAAAUAAUGCGGGAUUCGAAAUAUUUAGUGUUUUGUUUCCCUUUCAAGAGUGGUAAUCCAUCAAAUCCAAAAUUGUUCUCAAAAAUUUUUCUAUAUUUUUGGUGAUCUCUCAUAUAUGGUAUCAUAAAAACUAUAAAAUUAGAUAAAAGGCAUUACACAGCCAGAAGAAAUCUGUUCCUCCUGCAGUAACCUGAAAGAGCAGGUGAAAUUCACUUUGAACCAGAAACACAGAAUCCUUACUAAAAAACAAAGUAAGAAACAGGGAUUAAAAUAUGGCAUUGGAUUAGAAUUUUCAAUUUUACUCCUUCAGGUAAUGAACCUUAAUGACUGUACAAAUAAUUUUAUUUUAUUUUAACCAUUUAAUAGCCAUCUAACCCAUGUACUAUGGCCAGAUGAGGUGUUGGAAUCUAUAGGAGAACAAAUACAGAACAUCUAAAGAUGCUCCAGUGCUACACCGUGAAGCUGGGAGUUGUAAAGGGAGAGAAACCGGAAGGAAGAAAGCUCCGUCCUGUCCGCCAGAUGGCCGGCACUUUCAGGAACAUCACAGUAGAAGGUAAAAGCAUUUCAGUAAUAAACGGACGGGCACAGUCAUUCGCUGAGGGAAGACAGUGACACUGAGGUUACAGAUGGCUGAGGAACAAGCUGGGUGAAGACACAGUUCUGAAAGACAGCUGCUGAAGGCGGGCAUGAGGAGAGGUGCUCUGAGAGCUACAAGGGGAAGCUGGGUCCUGCGAGAAGGAAAGGACUGAUACCAGCACGUAGGAAGAGAGCCCAACAAAAUUUGUGAUUUGCACCAAGCCGUUUAUUUCCAUAAAACUUAUCAUAAAGGGUAAAUGAAUCAUCCAACAAUAAAAAUUCCUAAAUCUUUCUUCAAUAUGAGAGCCCAGUCUAAUUUUGAUGGAAAGCAAUUUUUACACACUGAGAAGAAAUUUAAGUUUCAAGUCUCACAGUGUUUUGAAAAGUUAAGAUUCAGAAAAGCAAAAACCACUGCAACAUCCAGCUGAAAGUAGACAAAGAAAGACAAUUCCUGGCAAUGUGAACUUGGAAAAGAACUGAAAUUCAAAAGCCCUAGGUCUGAUCCUUCUCAAUGUAGUCAAUUGUUUAAAACCUCUAGUUAUGAAUUCAUAACAUGGGGUUUACUAUACUUCUGACAGAAAGAAAGCACAUAGACUAUAAAGGUAGCUUACAAAAUGCCGUUAAGCGUGAUUCAAAUAUUUAUUGUUGUCACUAACUUUAAGAACUGUUCAGAAGAAUAGAAAACUGAUAGGAAACAGCAAUUUGAUUUGUGAUAAACUUGAGAAAGAAAUAUUUAGACAUCAACAAGAACAAAUAAAUUAAAUC